rnacentral:rRNA from 1 species
UGGGGAAUCUUGGACAAUGGGCGCAAGCCUGAUCCAGCGACGCCGCGUGGGUGACGAAGGCCUUCGGGUUGUAAAGCCCUUUUCCCGGGGACGAUGGUGACGGUACCCGGGGAAUAAGCACCGGCUAACUCCGUGCCAGCAGCCGCGGUAAGACGGAGGGUGCUAGCGUUAUCCGGAAUUAUUGGGCGUAAAGAGCUCGUAGGCGGUUUGUCGCGUCUGCCGUGAAAGUCCGGGGCUCAACUCCGGAUCUGCGGUGGGUACGGGCAGACUAGAGUGAUGUAGGGGAGACUGGAAUUCCUGGUGUAGCGGUGAAAUGCGCAGAUAUCAGGAGGAACACCGAUGGCGAAGGCAGGUCUCUGGGCAUUAACUGACGCUGAGGAGCGAAAGCAUGGGGAGCGAACAGGAUUAGAUACCC